UGGUGCCUCUCCUGAUCAUCAUCGUGAUGAUUGUUGUCAAAUCCUGCCGAAAAACUGCCACUCUUCAGCGACCCGAAAGGUCGGAUCCACCGUAUGCAGAGAUAGACGAAGGAGGUGAGGAACAGAGAUAAGUAUGC